UACGAAGGGGGCUAGCGUUGCUCGGAAUCACUGGGCGUAAAGGGUGCGUAGGCGGGUCUUUUAAGUCAGGGGUGAAAUCCUGGAGCUCAACUCCAGAACUGCCUUUGAUACUGAGGAUCUUGAGUUCGGGAGAGGUGAGUGGAACUGUGAGUGUAGAGGUGAAAUUCGUAGAUAUUUCGCAAGAACACCAGUGGCGAAGGCGGCUCACUGGCCCGAUACUGACGCUGAGGCACGAAAGCGUGGGGAGCAAACAGG
rnacentral:rRNA from 1 species